UCCACACGACUCUCGGCAACGGAUAUCUCGGCUCUCGCAUCGAUGAAGAACGUANCGAAAUGCGAUACCUGGUGUGAAUUGCAGAAUCCCGCGAACCAUCGAGUCUUUGAACGCAAGUUGCGCCCGAGGCCAUUCGGCCGAGGGCACGCCUGCCUGGGCGUCACG
rnacentral:rRNA from 1 species